CGGGGUGUAGCGCAGAGGGUAGCGCACUUGCAUGGGGUGCAAGGGGUCACAGGUUCAAAUCCUGUCAUCCCGA
rnacentral:tRNA from 1 species